rnacentral:sRNA from 2 species
AGUGGCUCAUUCAUCUUUCUUAUGUCAGCCCCUUCGGGACGUGCUACAUAAACUUCGAAUGACGCACUUAAAGGUGCCUGCCGUCCACCUGCUGAUAAUUGCUUUGCUUUAUCAGGCUUCGGGCGAAACGUCGAGUUAGGCACCGCCUA